GAUGAACGCUGGCGGCGUGCCUAAUACAUGCAAGUCGAACGAACUUCCGUUAAUUGAUUAUGACGUACUUGUACUGAUUGAGAUUUUAACACGAAGUGAGUGGCGAACGGGUGAGUAACACGUGGGUAACCUGCCCAGAAGUAGGGGAUAACACCUGGAAACAGAUGCUAAUACCGUAUAACAGAGAAAACCGCAUGGUUUUCUUUUAAAAGAUGGCUCUGCUAUCACUUCUGGAUGGACCCGCGGCGUAUUAGCUAGUUGGCGAGGUAAAGGCUCACCAAGGCAGUGAUACGUAGCCGACCUGAGAGGGUAAUCGGCCACAUUGGGACUGAGACACGGCCCAGACUCCUACGGGAGGCAGCAGUAGGGAAUCUUCCACAAUGGACGCAAGUCUGAUGGAGCAACGCCGCGUGAGUGAAGAAGGGUUUCGGCUCGUAAAGCUCUGUUGUUAAAGAAGAACGUGGGUAAGAGUAACUGUUUACCCAGUGACGGUAUUUAACCAGAAAGCCACGGCUAACUACGUGCCAGCAGCCGCGGUAAUACGUAGGUGGCAAGCGUUAUCCGGAUUUAUUGGGCGUAAAGCGAGCGCAGGCGGUCUUUUAAGUCUAAUGUGAAAGCCUUCGGCUCAACCGAAGAAGUGCAUUGGAAACUGGGAGACUUGAGUGCAGAAGAGGACAGUGGAACUCCAUGUGUAGCGGUGAAAUGCGUAGAUAUAUGGAAGAACACCAGUGGCGAAGGCGGCUGUCUGGUCUGCAACUGACGCUGAGGCUCGAAAGCAUGGGUAGCGAACAGGAUUAGAUACCCUGGUAGUCCAUGCCGUAAACGAUGAUUACUAAGUGUUGGAGGGUUUCCGCCCUUCAGUGCUGCAGCUAACGCAUUAAGUAAUCCGCCUGGGGAGUACGACCGCAAGGUUGAAACUCAAAAGAAUUGACGGGGGCCCGCACAAGCGGUGGAGCAUGUGGUUUAAUUCGAAGCUACGCGAAGAACCUUACCAGGUCUUGACAUCUUCUGACAGUCUAAGAGAUUAGAGGUUCCCUUCGGGGACAGAAUGACAGGUGGUGCAUGGUUGUCGUCAGCUCGUGUCGUGAGAUGUUGGGUUAAGUCCCGCAACGAGCGCAACCCUUAUUACUAGUUGCCAGCAUUAAGUUGGGCACUCUAGUGAGACUGCCGGUGACAAACCGGAGGAAGGUGGGGACGACGUCAAAUCAUCAUGCCCCUUAUGACCUGGGCUACACACGUGCUACAAUGGAUGGUACAACGAGUCGCGAGACCGCGAGGUUAAGCUAAUCUCUUAAAACCAUUCUCAGUUCGGACUGUAGGCUGCAACUCGCCUACACGAAGUCGGAAUCGCUAGUAAUCGCGGAUCAGCAUGCCGCGGUGAAUACGUUCCCGGGCCU
rnacentral:rRNA from 1 species